rnacentral:rRNA from 1 species
GAUAAACGCUAGCGGCAGGCUUAACACAUGCAAGUCGAGGGGCAGCAUAGAUUGUAGCAAUACAAUUGGUGGCGACCGGCGCACGGGUGCGUAACGCGUAUGCAACCUACCCGUCACAGGGGGAUAAUCCGGAGAAAUCUGGUCUAAUACCCCAUAACAUAUGGAUCGGCAUCGGUUCAUGUUGAAAUUUUCGGAGGUGACGGAUGGGCACGCGUAGCAUUAGCUUGUUGGUGAGGUAACGGCGCACCAAGGCGACGAUGAUUAGGGGGAGUGAGAGUUUUCCCCCCCACACUGGUACUGAUACACGGACCAGACUCCUACGGGAGGCAGCAGUGAGGAAUAUUGGUCAAUGGGCGCAAGCCUGAACCAGCCAUGCCGCGUGCAGGAUGACGGCUCUAUGAGUUGUAAACUGCUUUUGUACGAGGGUAAAGUGGGUUACGUGUAACCUUUUGAAAGUAUCGUACGAAUAAGGAUCGGCUAACUCCGUGCCAGCCGCCGCCGUAA